rnacentral:rRNA from 1 species
GACGAACGCUGGCGGCGUGCCUAAUACAUGCAAGUCGAACGAACCGCGACUAGGUGCUUGCACUUGGUCAAGGUGAGUGGCGAACGGGUGAGUAACACGUGGGUAACCUACCUCAUAGUGGGGGAUAACAGUCGGAAACGACUGCUAAUACCGCAUAGGACAUGGGAUCACAUGAUUCUGUGAGGAAAGGUGGCGCAAGCUAUCGCUAAGAGAUGGACCCGCGGUGCAUUAGCUAGUUGGUAGGGUAACGGCCUACCAAGGCGAUGAUGCAUAGCCGACCUGAGAGGGUGAUCGGCCACAUUGGGACUGAGACACGGCCCAAACUCCUACGGGAGGCAGCAGUAGGGAAUCUUCCGCAAUGGAGGCAAGUCUGACGGAGCAACGCCGCGUGAGUGAAGAAGGUCUUCGGAUCGGAAAGCUCUGUUGUUAGAGAAGAACAGCGCAUAGAGUAACUGUUAUGCGUGUGACGGUAUCUAACCAGAAAGCCACGGCUAACUACGUG